rnacentral:rRNA from 1 species
UACGGGGGGAGCAAGCGUUGUUCGGAUUUACUGGGCGUAAAGGGCGCGUAGGCGGUCGUGACAAGUCACUUGUGAAAUCUCCGGGCUUAACUCGGAACGGUCAAGUGAUACUGUCGGACUAGAGUACAGAAGGGGCAACUGGAAUUCUCGGUGUAGCGGUGAAAUGCGUAGAUAUCCGGAGGAACACCGGUGGCGAAGGCGGCUUCCUGGACCGACACUGACGCUGAGGCGCGAAAGCUAGGGGAGCAAACGGG